UUCAGAACGUCGUGAGACAGUUCGGUCCCUAUCUUCCGUGGGCGUAGGAAUCUUGAGGAAAUCUGUCCCUAGUACGAGAGGACCGGGAUGGACGGACCCCUGGUGUUCCGGUUGUCGCGCCAGCGGCAUUGCCGGGUAGCUAAGUCCGGAACGGAUAACCGCUGAAAGCAUCUAAGCGGGAAGCCAAUUCCAAGAUGAGGAUUCCCUGAAGGCACGUCGUAGACCACGACGUUGAUAGGCUGGAUGUGGACGCGUCGCAAGGCGUGGAGCUAACCAGUACUAAUGAGCCGUUCGGCUUGGCCUG
rnacentral:rRNA from 1 species